rnacentral:sRNA from 1 species
UCCGUAGGUGAACCUGCGGAAGGAUCAUUAACGAAUAAACUUUGGAUUGUUGCUGGCCUCUAGUUAGGUAAUGUGCACGUCCAUUUAUUCUUCAACCACUGUGCACCUUUUGUGAGCCUUUGUAAAUAUACGGAUUUGAGACUUGCGCCUAACCCGCGCUCGACUCGUUAAAGUCGUUUUACACCGGUUUCACGUUUAUUACACACAAACCAUGUAAACUUUAGAACGCAUGAAUAGAGAGUUGGGACUCGCGCCCUCCUUUUAAAAUGUCUAUACAACUUUCAACAACGGAUCUCUUGGCUCUCGCAUCGAUGAAGAACGCAGCGAAAUGCGAUAAGUAAUGUGAAUUGCAGAUUUCAGUGAAUCAUCGAAUCUUUGAACGCACCUUGCACCUUAUGGUAUUCCGUAAGGUAUGCCCGUUUGAGUGUCAUUGAAUCAUCAAACCUACAACAUUUCGUUGCUAGGGCUUGGUUAUGAGGGUUUUUUGCGGGCUCUGACGAGUCGGCUCCCUUUAAAUACAUUAGCGAGACUUCCCUUUGCUGACCGUCUCCGGCGUGAUAAUUAUCUGCGUCGAAGUUUGCGGUUCUCGUCGGGCUUGCUUCUAACAGUCUCUUGACGGAGACGAUUAGGAUUUGAGUGCAUAUAUGCGCUCAUUUCUGAACUCUUUUGACCUCAAAUCGGGUAGGACUACCCGCUGAACUUAAGCAUAUCAAUAAGCGGAGGAAAAGAAACUAACAAGGAUUCCCCUAGUAACUGCGAGUGAAGAGGGAAAAGCUCAAAUUUAAAAUCUGGCAGUCCUUGCGGCAGUCCGAGUUGUAAUUUAGAGAAGUGUCGCCCGUGUCGGACCGUGUACAAGUCUCCUGGAACGGAGCGUCGUAGAGGGUGAGAAUCCCGUAUAUGACACGGACUACCGACGCAUUGUGGUGUGCUCUCGAAGAGUCGAGUUGUUUGGGAAUGCAGCUCAAAAUGGGUGGUAAAUUCCAUCUAAAGCUAAAUAUAGGCGAGAGACCGAUAGCGAACAAGUACCGUGAGGGAAAGAUGAAAAGAACUUUGGAAAGAGAGUUAAACAGUACGUGAAAUUGUUGAAAGGGAAACGCUUGAAGU